AUAUGUAGGAGGACGUUUUACCACAUAUUAGUGUUGAUCCAGUUGUGAGUCUCCUGUGACACGGCUUGUGCUUUCUGAUUGUUUUACUUUUACUUUUUGGGUGUAUUCGUGUAUGUACAGACGAAUAAUGCUGGCCGGAAGACGGAGGAGGCGGAAUCGGCUCUAUAAGCACACUUAUACAUCCUAGACAGAAAAAAAAGAGAGGAAUAGCACCAUCGUUAUCUUUCAGGUAAAGUUCAGUUCACUUGGUCGCAAUGAACUUGACAAUGGGACGUCUUCGUUGUUAUUGCAAUACACAGACGGACCAAUUUUUAUGUUCUUCAUACUUCUUCGGGGCGGUUGGAAGAGGCG